rnacentral:rRNA from 1 species
GACGUAGGGCGCGAGCGUUGUCCGGAUUUAUUGGGCGUAAAGAGCUCGUAGGCGGUCUGUCGCGUCGGCUGUGAAACCCCGAGGCUCAACCUCGGGCCUGCAGUCGAUACGGGCAGACUAGAGUGUGGUAGGGGAGACUGGAAUUCCUGGUGUAGCGGUGAAAUGCGCAGAUAUCAGGAGGAACACCGGUGGCGAAGGCGGGUCUCUGGGCCAUAACUGACGCUGAGGAGCGAAAGCGUGGGGAGCGAACAGG